ensembl:lncRNA
CCAAACAAUUCACCUCACGCUCCGCACACUCAGCACUCCUUCCGCUCAGAGAGAGAGAGAGAGAGAGAGAGAGAGAGACACAGAGAGAGACAGACAGAGAGACACAGAGAGACACAGGGAGAGACAGACAGAGAGACACAGGGAGAGACAGAGAGAGACACAGAGAGACACAGAGAGAGACACAGGGAGAGACAGACAGAGAGAGACACAGAGAGACACAGAGAGAGACAGACAGAGAGACACAGGUCACUCAGGGACGUCCCAGACGUCCACUAGGUGGAGCUGUUUGUGUGUUUACCUGUUUACAGCCACACACCUUUCCUAACAGCCAGCGGGGUCUGAUUCUCCUCACGUGUCCUCUGACGAGCCACCAGGGGUCUCUCGUCAUAACAACAUCUGCAUCAUGUCUUCAUGUCUGCACGUCGGGUUCAACAGCAAUGGACGUCUCUUUGGAUUAAUCAUCUGCUCCAUCGAUCAAAUGAAGUUCUGCUGUUCCGUCUCCCUCCCUCCAGACUUUGUGAAUGUUUGUGUUUUUCAGCUUUGAAAACAAAGAUCAUCCGUUCCGUUGACGUGACGACGCCUCCGUGAUUCACAGGCGGCGAGCUAUUUAAAGAAGGCAUGAGCUCAUGUAGCGAUGACGUCAUCACUCCGGCGGAGGGAAGAAGCCCGACGUCUGAUGGGAGCAGGAAGUGAGACCGUGCGACGUCAUGGCGACCAGCUGCUUCUGUGACUUUGAUCUCUUUGAAGGCUGUAGAACCCUCAGAGGACAUGGUGGCCGUUUGACAAAUUAAGCCAAAGUUCUAGGGUUUUUUUCUGAGGGAGCAAAGAGGAACCGAUAGUUCUCGUUCUCCUUCUAGUUCUCCUAUAGAACGGAUGAACCCCAAAAUCUGAAGAACCUUUUUGAAACACCUCUUCAGAAGCUGUCAAUAUCCUCUCUGAGAUUCACAGAACCUCUUAAAAUAACCCUCUUUGGAUCUGCCCCGUAGAACCCUAUCUGAACAGCAAUAACAACCUCUUAGAACCUGAAACUCUUGUUCCUUGUCACCAGAACCCGUUGAAUCCGUUGAUUUGUUUACUGUCCAUCUAACCUUGUCAUUUCUAAAUCCAAACGCACUGUAAAAAAACCCUCAUAUUCCUUCCAGAACUCUUUAGACUCUCAAAAAUAACCCCACAGAAAAUCCACUGAAUCUCUGAAUCAUUUAGAUCUCAGCUCCUUCACAAAGGAACCCUUUUAUUCUCCUCAAGACUACCUGAAGUAAGCUGAAGGUCCUGAGACUCAUUCCUCGGUGAAACCACAAUGACAGACUGGAGGAAAGAGGGGGCUGAUGGGUUUGGAAAUGAGAGGGUCACGCUUGGAAGAGAAGGUUUUUUCAGGGCGAUGACAGGAUGACUGUGAGGAUAACAAAGAGGACCUUCUCAAGCAGAUGUCUUAAGUUAGAACCAGGAGGGCCUGGUGUUUAACCUUUUCGGGCUCGUGGGAAAUUAUGCUUGUUAGAGGCCACUCUUGGUCUUAUCCGUCGCCAUCUUGGUUUCUAUUUGUCAACAUCGUGUUUAUUUUCAUCCACAUUUGAGAUAAUGGAGGUUGAUCCAACUGAACACUGGUCAAAACAACUGAGGACAAAUAUCAACUUUGAUGAACUGGAAACAAACAACAAAGUUAAAGCUGUGACAAAAGAGAUUAGAGACCUGUCAAUCAACGGAGAAGUAGAGUCAUUUCCUCAUAGACGUCUAUGGGAGCAGAGGAGUCGCCCCCUGCUGGUCACUACAGAGAAGUAGAGUCAUUUCCUCAUAGACGUCUAUGGGAGCAGAGGAGUCGCCCUCUGCUGGUCACUACAGAGAAGUAGAGUCAUUU